GUUAUUUGGCAUGGUCUUCAAAGGUUUAUUUUGCUACUGUUCGGCAUAUCUAAUCCUUGUUAUGAGUUUUAAGAAUUCUCUAUACUUCUUUCAUGUUAUUUGGGAGAUUAUACUGGUCUUGUACUUUAGUUUUUCUUUCUGCAUUUAAUCAUCUUUAUUUUUCAAGCUGAUGGCUGAGUAUCUACUACAGAUUUUGGCAUGUUGGUGAUCAUCCAUGAGGACAACAGGAAGUUUACUAGUUCUAUGUCUAUAAAGAUGCCAUGACUGUGGGUUCACACAUUUUUGUUUAUGUUACUAAUUUUGUGUUUGUCUCACCACCUGCAGUUGCUCCACCUUAACUACAGCUCAGUUGUUAUUUUUUUCUAUCUUCUGAGUCCAAGCCACCUUAGAACUUUUCUGAUGUCUUCUUGGCAAACAUUUCUUAUAAUUUUGGAGGUUUCCCUUAGCAAUUAACAUCUCAAAUUCUUCUGU
rnacentral:misc_RNA from 1 species